rnacentral:lncRNA from 10 species
GGGGGUUGUGCUUAAGGCUCUGGAGGCAUCCCCUCUACAAAGGAAGGAGCAAAUGGCAGACAGAAGCAGAAGCUGAUGUCCCAUUUCCACGUAGCUGCUGUGAUUUAUCAUUUUCACGUAGCCAAGGAUACAAAAAGGGCACCCGACACCGCAGCCUGAGCUUCAACUUCGGGGGCACCUGGGUUCCGCCGCUCAUCUGUGCCCUCCCAAGACCUCCGCAAUAACCGUCCCCGGAGUCCAGGGAAAAGGCCUCCUCAACGUCCCCAGCUCCCUGGCACAUGAGCUCUCAGAGCCUGGGACACUCCCGCAGCCUGGCUCAAGCCCCCACGACCUGUGAGGCAUUCAUCUGGACGGGGUCUGGGGGUCAAGGGGAAAGCUGGGAGUCCCAAAGGGCAGGAGAGUCACCCCAGACCCAGCCAGAGUCCACAGGACUUCUGCCCACUCACAAAUGAAUUGUAGUCACUUUUCAAAAAGUUUCCCGUCUGCAUAGAAAAAGAGCACCCAGCCGCCUCCAAGCAGACCCCACCGUGAGCCGAGCUGGCUCCUGUGCCCGGGGCCUCCUCCGGGGCUCUUCAGCGGUGAAUACCGCCCGGCCCCCGGCAUCAGCGCCGCGGGAGGCCACGCGGGAAGUCAAGCUCCCCAGCAGGGACCUGCACAGACGCCGACCACCAGGGCUGCUCUCCCCGAAGCCCCCCUAGUCUCCGCCCACAUGUGCCCCCCGCCCCCCACCUCGCCGCCCUGCCCCUGUAAACGCCUCCUGACCCUGACGUGGCUGGGAGAGCUGCAGAAGUGCCGAGUCCCGGCCGGGGGCAGCCUCGCCGCCGCUCAGCUCGGGAAUCCCUGCCCCCCACCAGCACCUCAGUGGGGGAUACUGCAAGUUCAAGGUGGUUUAAGGCGUGAAUGAAUGAAGGAGCAAGCAGUAAGCCCCGACAGCAAGGCCACCACAGCCCUCGCCCCACAGGGACGCCUGAGCAAGGACCCAAGCAGGGGACAAGCAGGCUCACCCCGCCCUUGCGGGGCUGACCACGAGGCCCCGUCCGGUGGAACACGCCAUGACGCUUCAGGAGGCUCAUGUAGCUGGCGCCGUAUGGGACAGCGGGGGAGAGAGAAAAUGCACAGCCCAGGGAAUGUGGAGACAGGCCCAGCGCCAGGCAUGGGGGCCGGAAGGAGCAGCCGGGGAGCAGGGGGCAGGGCCUGGAGUCCCGCCUUGCAGAUCUGAACCUGCCCCAGCCCCAGGACUCUGAGUGCAGCAAGAGGGGAGCCGGGCUGGAGAGUGGGGAGCACGGAGACUGUGGCCUGGAUGGUGCCAGAGCAAACAGGAGAGAGGCUGCCCAACGCAGAGGCUGCAGCACAGACCAGAGGGUCCCGGGGCUGACUGGGUGGGGGCAGCUCCCAGCGAGAGGCCCCUGGGAUUUGGCUCAGAGGACCAAGUGAAUGAAUGAAUGACUCGAUCAAUCAACUGAUCCAUGAAUCCAUGGACCCCUGAACAGCUGGACAGCUGGGCUGUGGGCAGGACAGGGGACUCUGGCUGAAGCCGCGUUCAUAUGUGUUCAGCUUUGUGAGUGGGGCGAGGUUGAGGGCUUAUUCAGUGGGGGAGGUGCACGGCAGGGCCAGUACCCUUGGAGGGUCAGGCCACAGGGGCGGGGACACCUGCCAGGAUGCCCAACCCCAGAGGCAGUGGGAGCUGUUGGGGAGCCGUGGUCCCAGUCAGCGGUGGCUUGAUGAGGGCUGCUCCCACUUCAUCCGCAGGAUUCCAGCCGCAGCUACCCCACACCCGAGCUGUCCCUAGUCGCCCACCGCGGCCGGACAAAGCCCCAGCAGCCAAGGUGCUCCGUGGGGAGGGUUUCUUGGGUUUCUUGAAGCCAGUAUUUCCCAUAGUAUCUUACGUCCCAGCAGAGGCCUCCACUGUGCCCGGACCAGCGGCCCACUCAGUGAGUCGAGUGUGCACCUGGCACCCCUCUUUCUGGAAAUCCACGAACAAUGGGCUCCCAGCAGAGGACUGAGGCUGAGCAGGCCACUUCCCUGGAGCUGACCCCACAGCUGUGUAGGUACAGGGUGGCCGUGAACACUUAGGGCUCUCUCGGGCUGUGCGCUUCUUGUUCACUGCAAGGAGCAGGGUGUUGGCUCCUGACCAAGCCCUGUCACUGCUGCCCAGCCACACGUGGGGCCCCUUCACCCACCCCUGACCACCUCAUGCAGGUGAAGCCACUGUGGAAACAGCCUGGCAGUCCCUUGAAAAAUGAAGUCAUAAACCCCAGCAAUUGCACUCCUGGGCCUCUGACAGAGCUUGCACGUCCCCUCCAAAGCUCGUGUUAAGCUGUGAGCCCCAGUGCCGGAGGUGGGGCCUGGUGUGUUUGGGUUCUGGGGGUGGAUCCCUCAUGGCUGGGUGCCAUGAACCCACUCACCACAGUGAGUUCUCACGAGAUCUGGUUGUUGAGAAGUGUGUCAUACCUCCCCCACAACUCUCUGUCUUUUGUUCCGGCUCUGGCAAUGUAACAAGCCUGCUCCUCCUUCGCCUUCUGCCAUGACUGUAAGCUUUCUGAGGGCUGACCAGAAGCCCAGCAGAUGCCAGCACCAUGCUUCCUAUACAGCCUGCAGAACCGUGAGCCAGCUAAACCUCUCCUCAUAAAUCACCGAGCCCCAGGUUUAUCUUUACAGCAAUGCAAGACCUGACUAAUACAGCACCAGCUCCCCAAAAUAAAAAGAAAUAUUCAAACAAAUAAGCGCACAGAAGUGUUCCCAGCAGCACUAUUCACAGCAGCCAAAAGGCGGAGGAGCCACAGGCUUGUCAGCUGAUGACAGAUAAAGAAAGCAUGGCCUGUCAUCCCAGCACUUUGGGAGGCCGAGGUGGGUGGAUCACCUGAGGUUGGGAGUUCAAGACCAGCCUGGCCAACAUGGUGAAACCCAGUCUCUACUAAAAAUAUAAAAAUUAGCUGGGUGUGAUGAUGAGCGCCUGUAGUCCCAGCUACUUGGAAGGCUGAGGAACAAGAAUCGCUUGAACCCGGGAGGCAGAGGUCGCAGUGAACCGAGAUC